ACGCGAGGAACCUUACCAGGUCUUGACAUCCCAUUGACCGCUAUGGAGACAUAGCUUUCCCUUCGGGGACAAUGGUGACAGGUGGUGCAUGGUUGUCGUCAGCUCGUGUCGUGAGAUGUUGGGUUAAGUCCCGCAACGAGCGCAACCCUUGUUCUUAGUUGCCAUCAUUUAGUUGGGCACUCUAAGGAGACUGCCGGUGACAAACCGGAGGAAGGUGGGGAUGACGUCAAAUCAUCAUGCCCCUUAUGACCUGGGCUACACACGUGCUACAAUGGACGGUACAAACGGUUGCCAACCCGCGAGGGGGAGCUAAUCCGAUAAAACCGUUCUCAGUUCGGAUUGUAGGCUGCAACUCGCCUACAUGAAGCCGGAAUCGCUAGUAAUCGCGGAUCAGCAUGCCGCGGUGAAUACGUUCCCGGGCCUUGCACACACCGCCCGU
rnacentral:rRNA from 1 species